ACACACACACACACACACACGUUUGUCUCCCAAACUACACACACGCACACACACCAGAUUCAUCUCCCAAACUCCACACGCACCAGAUUCAUCUCCCAAACUCCACACACACACACACACACACAUCAGAUUCGUCUCCCAAACUCCACACACACACACACACACACCAGAUUCAGCUCCCAAACUACACACACACACACACACACACACACACACCCCUACCUGCCUUCCUGAUGCUGCCACUCACUGCAUACCAACACAGCCCAAAUUUUAAACAUCUGAAACCUAAUUCUGGCCUUUUCUCAAGCCUGCUUUACCCACAGUCUUCCCCAUCCCAGCUUCAGGCAACCUCAUUUUCGUAGUAGCCAC
rnacentral:lncRNA from 1 species